GACAGAGGGUGCAAACGUUGUUCGGAAUUACUGGGCGUAAAGCGUGUGUAGGCGGCCAUGUAAGUCGGAUGUGAAAGCCCCGGGCUUAACCCGGGAAGUGCAUUCGAUACUGCGUGGCUUGAGUAUCGGAGAGGUUGGUGGAAUUCUCGGUGUAGAGGUGAAAUUCGUAGAUAUCGAGAGGAACACCGGUGGCGAAGGCGGCCUUCUGGACAGUGACUGACGCUGAGACGCGAAAGCGUGGGGAGCAAACAGG
rnacentral:rRNA from 1 species